rnacentral:rRNA from 1 species
UACGUAGGAUGCAAGCGUUGUCCGGAAUUAUUGGGCGUAAAGAGCGAGCAGGCGGUCUGGAAAGUUGGACGUGAAAUUUUAGGGCUUAACCCUAAAGGGUCGUCCAAAACUUCCAAACUAGAGUGCAGGAGAGGAAAGCGGAAUUCCCGGUGUAGUGGUGAAAUGCGUAGAUAUCGGGGAGGAACACCAGAGGCGAAGGCGGCUUUCUGGCCUGUAAACUG